rnacentral:rRNA from 1 species
UCGCCCCUUAGAGUUUGAUCCUGGCUCAGAGCGAACGCUGGCGGCAGGCUUAACACAUGCAGUCGAACGGGCACUUCGGUGCUAGUGGCAGACGGGUGACUAACACGUGGGAACGUACCUUUCGGUUCGGAAUAAUUCAGGGAAACUUGGACUAAUACCGGAUAAGCCCUUCGGGGGAAAGAUUCAUCGCCGAUAGAUCGGCCCGCGUCUGAUUAGCUAGUUGGUGAGGUAAUGGCUCACCAAGGCGACGAUCAGUAGCUGGUCUGAGAGGAUGAUCAGCCACAUUGGGACUGAGACACGGCCCAAACUCCUACGGGAGGCAGCAGUGGGGAAUAUUGGACAAUGGGCGAAAGCCUGAUCCAGCCAUGCCGCGUGUGUGAUGAAGGCCUUAGGGUUGUAAAGCACUUUUGUCCGGGAAGAUAAUGACUGUACCGGAAGAAUAAGCCCCGGCUAACUUCGUGCCAGCAGCCGCGGUAAUACGAAGGGGGCUAGCGUUGCUCGGAAUCACUGGGCGUAAAGGGCGCGUAGGCGGACUCUUAAGUCGGGAGUGAAAGCCCAGGGCUCAACCCUGGAAUUGCCUUCGAUACUGAGAGUCUUGAGUUCGGAAGAGGUUGGUGGAACUGCGAGUGUAGAGGUGAAAUUCGUAGAUAUUCGCAAGAACACCAGUGGCGAAGGCGGCCAACUGGUCCGAUACUGACGCUGAGGCGCGAAAGCGUGGGGAGCAAACAGGAUUAGAUACCCUGGUAGUCCACGCCGUAAACGAUGAAUGCCAGCCGUUGGGAUGCAUGCAUCUCAGUGGCGCAUCUAACGCUUUAAGCAUUCCGGCCUGGGGAGUACGGUCGCAAGAUUAAAACUCAAAGGAAUUGACGGGGGGCCGCACAAGCGGUGGAGCUGUGGUUUAAUUCGAAGCAACGCGCAGAACCUUACCAGCCUUUGACAUGUCCGGGUUGGAGGACAGAGAUGUACCUCUUCAGUUUAGGCUGGCCGGAACACAGGUGCUGCAUGGCUGUGUCAGCUCGUGUCGUGAGAUGUUGGGGUAAGUCCCGCAACAGAGCAACCCUCGCCCCUAGUUGCCAUCAUUCAGUUGGGAACUCUAGGGGGACUGCCGGUGAUAAGCCGCGAGAAGGUGGGGAUGACGUCAAGUCCUCAUGGCCUUACAGGCUGGGCUACACACGUGCUACAAUGGCGGUGACAAUGGGCAGCGAAAGAGCGAUCAGGAGCUAAUCCCAAAAAGCCGUCUCAGUUCAGCUUCCAAUAGGCAACUCGAGUCCAUGAAGGUGGAAUCGCUAGUAUUUUUUUUCACCAUGCCACGGUGAAUACGUUCCCGGGCCUUGUACACACCG